CGGCGAAACGGCGGGACCGCCUCCCUCCCAAAACAGGGCGGUCCGCCGUCUACCCUGCGUGGCGGCAUGGUACUGACGAGCCGGCCAAA
rnacentral:hammerhead_ribozyme from 1 species